rnacentral:rRNA from 1 species
ACUCAUGGCGGACGGGUGAGUAACGCGUAAAGAACUUGCCCUUUAGACUGGGAUAACAGAGGGAAACUUCUGAUAAUACUGGAUAAGUUAGUAUAUCGCAUGAUAUACAAAUGAAAGCUACGGCACUAAGGGAGAGCUUUGCGUCCUAUUAGCUAGUUGGUAAGGUAAGAGCUUACCAAGGCGAUGAUAGGUAGCCGGCCUGAGAGGGUGGACGGCCACAAGGGGACUGAGAUACGGCCCUUACUCCUACGGGAGGCAGCAGUU